rnacentral:tRNA from 1 species
UACAAAUUAGAAAGCGAAAUUUGCAUUUAGUUUCGACCUAAACUUUGGUUAUAUAACCUCUAAUU